AGAGUUUGAUCAUGGCUCAGGACGAACGCUGGCGGCGCGCCUAAUACAUGCAAGUCGAGCGAGCUUGCCUAGAUGAUUUUAGUGCUUGCACUAAAUGAAACUAGAUACAAGCGAGCGGCGGACGGGUGAGUAACACGUGGGUAACCUACCCAAGAGACUGGGAUAACACCUGGAAACAGAUGCUAAUACCGGAUAACAACACUAGACGCAUGUCUAGAGUUUGAAAGAUGGUUCUGCUAUCACUCUUGGAUGGACCUGCGGUGCAUUAGCUAGUUGGUAAGGUAACGGCUUACCAAGGCAAUGAUGCAUAGCCGAGUUGAGAGACUGAUCGGCCACAUUGGGACUGAGACACGGCCCAAACUCCUACGGGAGGCAGCAGUAGGGAAUCUUCCACAAUGGACGAAAGUCUGAUGGAGCAACGCCGCGUGAGUGAAGAAGGGUUUCGGCUCGUAAAGCUCUGUUGGUAGUGAAGAAAGAUAGAGGUAGUAACUGGCCUUUAUUUGACGGUAAUUACUUAGAAAGUCACGGCUAACUACGUGCCAGCAGCCGCGGUAAUACGUAGGUGGCAAGCGUUGUCCGGAUUUAUUGGGCGUAAAGCGAGUGCAGGCGGUUCAAUAAGUCUGAUGUGAAAGCCUUCGGCUCAACCGGAGAAUUGCAUCAGAAACUGUUGAACUUGAGUGCAGAAGAGGAGAGUGGAACUCCAUGUGUAGCGGUGGAAUGCGUAGAUAUAUGGAAGAACACCAGUGGCGAAGGCGGCUCUCUGGUCUGCAACUGACGCUGAGGCUCGAAAGCAUGGGUAGCGAACAGGAUUAGAUACCCUGGUAGUCCAUGCCGUAAACGAUGAGUGCUAAGUGUUGGGAGGUUUCCGCCUCUCAGUGCUGCAGCUAACGCAUUAA
rnacentral:rRNA from 1 species